CAGCAGCCGCGGUAAUGCGAAGGGUGCAAGCGUUACUCGGAAUUACUGGGCGUAAAGCGUGUGUAGGUGGUUGUUUAAGUCUGUCGUGAAAGCCCUGGGCUCAACCUGGGAAUUGCGAUGGAUACUGGGCGACUAGAGUGCGGUAGAGGAUAGUGGAAUUUCCGGUGUAGCAGUGAAAUGCGUAGAGAUCGGAAGGAACAUCUGUGGCGAAGGCGACUAUCUGGGCCAACACUGACACUGAGACACGAAAGCGUAGGGAGCAAACAGGAUUAGAGACCCGUGUAGUCCCUGUCUCUUAUAC
rnacentral:rRNA from 1 species